rnacentral:sRNA from 1 species
GCCAGGCACAGUGGCGCACACCUGUAAUCCCAGCAGCUCGGGAGGCUGAGUCAGGAGGAUCAUGAGUUCAAAGCCAGCCUCAGCAAAAGCAAGGUGCUAAGCAACUCAGUGAGACCCUGUCUCUA